ACCCCGGCCUGUGCGCAGUUCCCGUGCCCUAGGAGUUGGCGGCGGGGCCCAGCCGAGAAUCUUCUUCCCUUCUGGUCUGACUAGGAAAGCCAGAGGGAGAUGGUGAAGGAGACACAGAGAGAGUAAAAGAACAGACCAUGCCCAGCCUCUCCACUGCAGGAGCUUGGAAUCAGUUCUGGAGGCAGAAGGCUAAGAUCAAGGCACCAGCAAGUUUGGUGUCUCGUGAGGGCUGCUGUCUGCUUCCAAGAUGGCGCCUUGUUGUUGCAUCCUUGGGAGGGGAUGGGGAGAAAAAAACAAAAAGAGGCCUAGGCUGGUUGCCCCUAGCCCUUUUAUAAGGCACUAAUCCAUUCAUGAUGAGGGGAAAGCCCUCAUGACUUAAUCAUCUCGCAAAAGUAACACAUUUUAAUACCAUUACAAUGGGGAUUAGGUUUCUACAUGAAUUCUGGAGGGGACAUAUUCAAACCAUAGCACUCCACUUUCUACUUUCCCUUUUCCUAUUCUCUGUCUCCCUCUCUCCCCUGCCCCAUCUCGGUCACUGGGGUUUGUAUGCAUGUAUACAUAUAUGCAAAAUAUCUAAGUAUUUUGACCGGUGUUAAACACUGACCAUGGAUUCUCCUGGAACCUUUAUUCAACUCAGUUUAUUCUUUUGUAAAUCACAGUCACCAUUCAUUCCAUAAAUUGCCAGUGUACAAUUCAAUGAAUGUGGACAAUGUGAACACACAUAUAACACAACUCACUCAAGAUUUAGAGAGUCCCUUGUGCUCCUUUGUAGGCAAUCUCCAACCCCAUGGCAAUUACUGUUCUGAUUUUUAACACCUAGAUUUGUUCUGCCUUUUUCUGGACUUUAUAUAAAUGGAAUAAUAAACUAUAUGGGGAUUUUUGCUCAACAU
rnacentral:lncRNA from 1 species